UGACUGCUGAGUGGUCUCGUUUGGAGUAAGCCCCUCCCUCUACCGUUACACCAUCAGCUGAAGACAGGCUUGUCCAGGUUGGGUCCUGCCUUUGGGGGGUGCCUAAAUAUUCACUGCUGUCGCCUUCUCCUUUCUGGAAGAGGUUAAGCCUUAGGCUGUCUGGCCUGGGCGUUCUCCAGCCCUGUCUUGCCUCACUACCUUGCCUCCUGCUGAGAUGGGGCCAUUAGUUUACUGAUAAACAAGGGACACACUCCACCGUUACUGCUGCUACACAGAGCAUGCGCAGCUGUCUGUCAGCAUACCCCUCCAGACAUCCUAGGCCACCUGAGAGGUUGCCUUUUUCUCUGCUUUGCCAUUUGGAAACCCUCAGUUUGUGACCCAGAUGGUCUGCUCAGACAUAAAGUGGGAUCUAUGAUGGAGCUCCCAGAAGGAAUAUUUUCAACCAAUAAUGAACUGAACAAGUUCUGCCAAACCUAGGGUACAAUGGCUUUCUGAAGAGCCUUCACUCCAGAACUGAGGCUGGAAUCCUAGGGCAAACAUGUGACUCUUCACUUUUGUCUCAUUGUGUCUCAAUCCUUUGACCUGCCUCCUCGGUUAGACAUUAGGGAUAAGCAUGCAGCACCAAGGACGGGCUUUGACAGCUCUAAUGUCAGACAACUUCACUGUCCUGCUCCACUAGCAUCCGUCAGUCAAAUCUGAAUGGAUUUUGCAUUUUUUAAAUGACCAAAGGGGAGAAAAGUCAAAACCCCUCUGUGCUGUUAAAGGAUCACAUGAUGGCCAGUGUCUAUAAAGCUUCAUUGGAACAAGACACACUGGCUCAUUUUCACGGCUGUUGACUUCUUUUCCACUGGAUGGAGAGGUUCCUAAUCAUUCACUCUGUUGUGUGACUCACUCAGAGCUACAGUAGUGUCGCCUGUCCCACCCAUCCACUCAAAGUGUCAUUUUAGAUGUGUCAUAACUCCAUCUCAUUUCUAGUUGGACUUCGGUGUAGGACUCUAACUUGUAAUCCAUCUAGGUGAACUAUUACAUGCUCUGAUACCAUCUUCUUGCUCUUCCAAAAACUGGACUUGAUUAUUAUCAUAAUGUUUUCAUUUUUUUAUCUACAAAUAUUUGGGUGCUUUUUUUCCUGUCUUUUAUCUUUAUCAUACCCUGGCUCUUGAUUUUUGGUUCACAAAGUCUAUGUGAAUUUUUAUAGAAAAUCUUUGCUGACCUUUAACCUAGAUCAUUGAGCUCCACCAGAAAAUUCCUUCAUUGGACCAUUCUACACCAUAGAGAAGCCAUAAAUUGUAGAAAGAAUCUCUUGUGUACUGUACGGAAGCAUCACCUGUCUGUUAAAAAGCUGUUGGCCUAUUAGCUUAGGCCCAAAAUAAGAGGUGGGAGUUCUGGCAGGGAGAGAGGAUUCUGGGAUAGUCAGACUUAGGAAGUGAUUCGCCCUGAAAGCUGAUGGAGAUGGUCUUAUGAACUUGAGGAGAAGUACCUAGCCACAUGGCAGAAUUUACAGAUAAAACACGUUAAUUAAGUUAUGAGCUAGUUGGAAAAUAAGUCCAAGCUUAUUUCUUAGACAAUUAUUUGUAAUAAUAUGUCUCAGAGUCAUUUCAGGAACUGGAAAAGCCUGAUGUUACAAGAAAUCAUCCACAGUUAAAAUGUUGGUUCUAGAGCUUUCCUUGAUUUUGAGAGGACAUGUGAAAUUGACUAAAGACCUAUUAGCACCCACACCUUGCUCUGGGACAUCGUCAUCUCCCCUCACCCUGGAUUCUCCAGUUUUCCUCACUCACACUGUGUAGGACGGACGCUCUUUUGCUUCUCAAGUGUUUCCCACUCUUCAGCUCUGACUUCCCAAAGGAGAAAUUGAAUUGAUGGAUCAAUAGAUCCCAAAUCAAUGAAGAAUUAAUCCCCUUAGUCAGAACAUUUUCCUGCAUCAUGCUGGUGGCCAGCUACAGUCCCCAAAGCCUGCUGCCUGUUCCAUGCAAGAAUAGCUCAACUCUGUGGACCGCUUCCAAGUCCUGAGGCCUCUGCACUGAUGGCUCAACAUCGGCCCUCUCAAGAGACAGUACUGCAGCCUUUCCCCCCUUCCCCACAGAAACCUUGUUCAGUGCAGGGCUGGUCACAUGCCUCUCCCUCUUGUUUAAACCUCUCUAAGUUUUCCCACCACCCAAAGGAUGAAAUCUAAAUGUCUUUACACAUGAGAUGCUUGCAGCUGAAUCAUACAUAGCAUGUUGGUCUCCAGUGUAGUUCUAAAUGAGACUGUGGGUUUUGUUCAUGUCUUUUUCUUUGUCUUGCUUUUUUUUUUCUAGUAGGACUGCAUGCUCAGCUGGCCCUGAGAGCAUCUGACCUUGAACUCCUGCUCCAUUCUUGCUCCACUCAAUCCCUUAUAUUCCCUUCUCCCCUCCCCAGAUUAGCUUCCAAGAUCAUCUUACUUUGCAUGUUUAGGAGGAGACAAGCCCUGGUAUCCAUCCCUCUCUAUACCCAGGGUAAGUUAGAUACAGGACCCAAUGUGGUAGAUUGGUGUCUCACCCCGCCCUUAGAGUUUUGAGGACAAUGCAAGGUAUGGGAAAGGAACUGCUCUUGGGUAGGAGCUGAGGAAUCAACACUCAGGCUCCAAUCACAUGCUUCCACACCUGACCCACACUGUGUCUGCCUAGACCCCCACUUUCUGCCUGACCCUGACCCCCUGGCCUUACCUUUGAGUCCCUGGGUCACUUCAAAGCCUUUCCUUUUGCCCUCUUUCCAUGUAUUGUGACCAGAGUGAAUUGAUGUGACUAAGCUGUGUAGCUUGGUGUCCUGGGCCAGGCACUGCAGUCCUCUACUCUUUGAGCAUCUCUGCUCUUGUGUAUCACAACCAUCUCUGAUGCUACUGCUCAUAGAGAGGUGCUGGCCUUGACACGGGAUUCUUUCUCUGAGUGGACCAAUGGAAUUUUUCUGAUGGCAAGUUUUUUUUUUUUUUUCAGUUUGCAAACAAAGGCAUUCCCCCAAAGUAAAUAUAACAAAAUUGCCUUUACUUGACAUACACAUUUUCUGAGGACUGGAUAUGAGUUGGGGUGAAGAGGAGAGCAACAGGAGGAGCCUCUCUGAGUGAUGUUAUCAGAAGGAAGAAUAGGGAUUAGGCCAUGGCAGAAGACAAAAUGGACCCUCUUAAUGAACACUAAUUAAUGAGAAAUGAAGAAAUGUACUCCUGCAGGGAGGGAAGGAACCCCAGUAAAGCAUACAGGACAGAGACUCUGGACCACUCUCCUCAGUAGGGCUGAAUGCUAAGUCCUCAAUGCUGGCCAAAGAAUUCAUGAUUGGCAUCACCAGCCAGCAUUCUAUUUAUGGCCACUCAAAUGCCUACCCCUAGGGAUCUGCCCUGGUCAGUACGACCAGAAAGGAUAAUACUUCUACUAUCUACUUCUUAGGCCCUUCCACCUCUGCAUCUACCCUCAAGGCUGAUGUUCGGGUCCUAGGAUGUUGCUCUGUCUUGCCUUAUCAAGCUCUUCUGUCCCUGUGCCCCAGUUCCUCAUUUGCAGCACAGGGGAGAGUUAGAGAGGCAUUAAUGAUCUGACAGGGUGGCUGUGAAGAAGGAACACUGGAUUCCAGUUUUGAACAACUGAAGAUUUGACAGCCUCAUAGUUCACUGGUUAGCUCGAUUCAAAGAAUAAAGGAGUUCAUGUUA